CAGAGGUCUCGAGCGUUGUUCGGAUUCAUUGGGCGUAAAGGGUGCGUAGGCGGCGCGGUAAGUCGGGUGUGGAAUCUCGGAGCUUAACCCCGAAACUGCAUUCGAUACUGCCGUGCUUGAGGACUGGAGAGGAGACUGGAAUUUACGGUGUAGCGGUGAAAUGCGUAGAUAUCGUAAGGAAGACCAGUGGCGAAGGCGGGUCUCUGGACAGUUCCUGACGCUGAGGCACGAAGGUCAGGGGAGCAAACGGGAUUAGAUACCCCGGUAGUCCUGACAGUAAACGGUGCACGUUUGGUGUGGGAGGAUUCGACCCCUUCUGCGCCGGAGCUAACGCGUUAAACGUGCCGCCUGGGGAGUACGGUCGCAAGAUUA
rnacentral:rRNA from 1 species